UACGGAGGGAGCUAGCGUUAUUCGGAAUUACUGGGCGUAAAGCGCACGUAGGCGGCUUUGUAAGUAAGAGGUGAAAGCCCAGAGCUCAACUCUGGAAUUGCCUUUUAGACUGCAUCGCUUGAAUCAUGGAGAGGUCAGUGGAAUUCCGAGUGUAGAGGUGAAAUUCGUAGAUAUUCGGAAGAACACCAGUGGCGAAGGCGGCUCACUGGACUGGUAUUGACGCUGAGGUGCGAAAGCGUGGGGAGCAAACAGG
rnacentral:rRNA from 1 species